UACCUUGGAAACCUAGCGCUUUGUGUCUAUACCAUUUGCAUUUAAUUAGAGUGACAAGCACAGUACUGAUCCCAUCUUGGAGACUUCCCCAGGCCAUUUGCUCAAGGCUGUUCAGUUUGUCAGUGAGAUACAGGACUUGCACCUCACUGUUCUAAUUUCCAGAGAGGACAAUUGCUCCAGACCCUCCAGAAGGGCAGUUCAAGGAGUAUCUUGAAGAGAUCUAGUUGAUGAGAAUGAAACGGAUGCUGAAUACUUGAUGUCCAGAGAUAGCUGUUCUUCAAGACACAGUUGAUUUCAACAAGGAUGGUACUAGCUGAUGUCUUGAAUAACCCCUUGAAAGGACAGACAGGGUAAGCUCCUGACUGAAAGAGAACUCCGCAGUUCUUCCUGAAUGUCAGAAAGAAGAUUGGUGUGUGGAAGAUCACGUCCUUAAAGCAUUAGACAAAACUACAACACAGCAAAAUCUAGGUCUGGAUUAUGUGCAAAUCAGUUUCCCAAUAAAAAGGUAAAAAAGGAAAGCUUGUCAAGCCCAGAUAAAGCAGGGAGUGUUAUUGCAAGAUGAACAACUAAGGCAAGAUCCUGACUAAAGUGACAGAGAAAGCAUACAGAGUGGUUGCAGUAGUAGAUUUGCAAUCUAGCUAGGAACUUGGUUUUUUGUUAAGUAUCAGAAAGCAGAGUCAGAGGAAAAAAUGUUAAAAAAUGAUACCUAAAAGUCUUUAGGAAACACCAAGCAUGAAAUGUAAUGGCUGCUUUGAAUAAGUAGUUAAGAUUCCUGAACAUGGAAACAAAGAACAACCACUCAACCC